rnacentral:tRNA from 1 species
GAAAAUGUAGCUAAGUUGGUAAAGAAUCUGCCUGCAAUGCAGGAGACCUGGGUUCAAAUCCCUGUGUCA